rnacentral:rRNA from 1 species
GGAAUAUUGCGCAAUGGUCGAAAGACUGACGCAGCGACGCCGCGUGGAGGAUGACGCCCUUCGGGGUGUAAACUCCUGUUGCUCGGGACGAAACCUCCUUUCGAGGAGACUGACGGUACCGAGUGAGGAAGCACCGGCUAACCCUGUGCCAGCAGCCGCGGUAAUACAGAGGGUGCGAGCGUUGUCCGGAAUCACUGGGCGUAAAGGGCGCGUAGGUGGCUUGGUAAGCGUGCGGUGAAAGCUCGAGGCUCAACCUCGAGUCUGCCGUGCGAACUGCCGAGCUGGAGCACGGUAGAGGCACAUGGAAUUCCGGGUGUAGCGGUGGAAUGCGUAGAGAUCCGGAAGAACACCGGUGGCGAAGGCGGUGUGCUGGGCCGUAGCUGACACUGAGGCGCGACAGCGUGGGGAGCAAAC